rnacentral:lncRNA from 1 species
AUCCCCGUCUGAUCAUUACUUGAUGACGCCUGCUUCAAAAGAUGCAACAGCGGUUGACCUCAGACGCAUGACGAUUAUGUCCUCUCGUGAGAGCCCCUCCUCUAAGGGUUGAAGUCAUCAGGAGUCACGCCCUCUCUUUUUCUAAUUUUUGCAUGCAAUUUUGCCAGAGGAAAACUAAAUUCUGACUGUAAGUUUUAUUGUUUCUCAGUGAUCAUGAGUGAUUUCUAUCUUUAUUUUAUUCUCGUUUCCUCUCAGGAAGUAAAUGAACUGAAAUCAUGAACCAGUUGCUUCGAUUAUCUUUAUCCUUGCAAAUUAAUUUGGGCGGAAAAAUUUUACAUUUUCCCAAUGGAAUUUUUUCCCCCAUCUUCCUUCUGCCCAAUUAUGCGGAAGCUGUUAGAGUGAUGCUUGGUGUUUAUAUACCAUUAUCUGAACUGAAAUCCAGCCACUUAUUUAACAUUUAAUUGUAGGAGAAUGGGCUCAUUUUUCUCAGAAAAAAAAGCCCUUCUUCGUUUCGUAUCAUUGAACAUCCCGCCGCUGGAUCGAUUCUCUUCCUGUAAUCAUCUUCUCCUUGGUGUCUGCCAAACUGCAGCGACCAUCUCCCCAUCUCUGGUGAAGCAGCUCCGCGAGGAGACCGGAGCAGGGAUGAUGGACUGCAAGAAGGCUCUGGCGGAGACCGGCGGCGACCUUGGCAAGGCCAAGGAGCUCCUCAGGAAGAAGGGCCUAGCGAGCGCCGACAAGAAGGCGAGCAGAGCCACGGCGGAGGGAAGAAUCGCCUCCUACAUCCACGACGGCCGGAUCGGAGUGCUCAUAGAAGUCAACUGCGAGACGGACUUCGUCUCGCGGGGCAGCGUAUUCAAGGAGCUGGUCAACGACAUCGCCAUGCAGGUCGCCGCCAGCCCGCAGGUCGAGUACCUGGCCCCCGAGGACGUCCCCGAGGAGACGGUCAAAAGGGAGAGGGAGAUCGAGAUGCAGAAGGAGGACCUCCUGUCGAAGCCCGAGCAGUUCAGAUCGAAGAUCGUGGACGGCAGGAUCAGGAAGCGGCUGGAGGAGCUGGCCCUCCUCGAGCAGCCGUACAUCAAGAACGACAAGGUCGUCGUCAAGGACUUGGUGAAGCAGACCAUCGCCACCGUCGGGGAGAACAUCAAGGUCAAGAGGUUCGUCCGGUUCAACCUCGGCGAGGGCCUGGAGAAGAAAAGCCAGGACUUUGCGGCGGAGGUCGCCGCCCAGACGGCGGCGAAACCAGCGGAGGCCCCCCCGGCGAAGAAGGAGGAGGAGCCCGCCGGCGCGGAGGCGGCGGCGGCGGCGGCGGCGGCUGCGGAGAAGUAUGCAGCUCAGUUAGUAUCGUCUGUUGACGCCGAGCGCGGCGUGGUAUUAAACAUGGAUGGGCGCGAUUUUGUCUUUGCUUUUCAGGCCUCCGGCGGCGGCGAUAUCGGCGGCUCUGGUCAAGCGGCUCCGGGAGGAGACCGGCGCCGGCAUGAUGGACUGCAAGAAGGCUCUCACGGCGACCGGCGGCGACCUCGAGAAGGCGCAGGAGUAUCUGAGGAAGAAGGGCCUCCUGUCGGCCGACAAGAAGGCCUCGCGGGUGGCCGCCGAGGGCCGCGUCGGGUCCUACGUCCACGAUUCCCGGAUCGGGGUCCUGAUCGAAGUCAACUGCGAGACGGACUUC